GUCAUCUCAUCUGGAAGGAGAGAUGGCUUAAAGGGGUGCGCGAGCUUCUUUUGUGCACCUGCUCUAGGAUGGGACUGCGGCCGAUCAGGCUGUUGGUGGGGUAAUGGCCCACCAAACCUGUAACCGGUACGGGCCUUGAGAGAGGGGGCCCGGAGAUGGACACUGAGAGAAGGGUCCAGGUCCUACGGGGCGCAGCAGGCGCGAAACCUUCGCAAUGCGCGAAAGCGUGACGAGGUUAAUCCGAGUGGUUCCCGCUGAGGGUAUUUUUUUGUUGGCUCUAAAAUGGCCAGUGAAUAAGGGGAGGGCAAGUCUGGUGUCAGCCGCCGCGGUAAUACCAGCUCCUCGAGUGGUCGGGGCGAUUAUUGGGCCUAAAGCAUCCGUAGCCUGUUCUGUAGGUCUUCUGUUAAAUCCAACGGCUUAACCGUUGGCAUGCAAGAAGAUACCGCAGGACUAGGAGGCGGGGAGAGGUGGACGGUACUCCCACGUGUAGGAGGUUAAAUUCCUUUUGAUCCGUGGAAGACCCACCCAGUGGCGAAGGCGGUCCACAGAACCGCGCUUCGACGGUGAGGGAUGAAAGCUGGGGGAGCGAACCCGAAUUAG
rnacentral:rRNA from 1 species